rnacentral:rRNA from 1 species
CCUACGGGAGACAGCAGUGAGGAAUAUUGGUCAAUGGACGCAAGCCUGAACCAGCCAUGCCGCGUGAAGGAAGACGGCACUAUGAGUUGUAAACUGCUUUUGUAAGAGGGUAAACGCAGAUACGCGUAUCUGUCUGAAAGUAUCGUACGAAUAAGGAUCGGCUAACUCCGUGCCAGCAGCCGCGGUAAUACGGAGGAUUCAAGCGUUAUCCGGAUUUAUUGGGUUUAAAGGGUGCGUAGGCGGUCGGGUAAGUUAGAGGUGAAAUCCCGAGGCUCAACUUCGGAAUUGCCUCUGAUACUGUUCGGCUAGAGAGUAGGUGAGGUAGGCGGAAUGUGUGGUGUAGCGGUGAAAUGCUUAGAGAUCAUACAGAACACCAAUUGCGAAGGCAGCUUACCAAGCUACUACUGACGUUGAGGCACGAAAGCGUGGGGAGCAAACAGGAUUAGAUACCCUGGUAGUC